rnacentral:rRNA from 1 species
UACGGAGGAUGCAAGCGUUAUCCGGAAUGAUUGGGCGUAAAGCGUCCGCAGGUGGCUAUGUAAGUCUGCUGUUAAAGAGUGAGGCUCAACCUCAUAAGAGCAGUGGAAACUACAUGGCUAGAGUGCGUUCGGGGCAGAGGGAAUUCCUGGUGUAGCGGUGAAAUGCGUAGAUAUCGAGAGGAACACCUGCGGCGAAGGCGGGUUGCUGGGCUGAUACUGACGCUGAGGCGCGAAAGCCAGGGGAGCGAACGGG